UAGUCCAGACUUUAUGCUAAUAGAAACUGCAAUGGAGUCGGGGUGGGCAGUCUGACCAGGAGGGGAGCAGUGAGCGUGUGUGUGGAGAGAUCAGGGUGCCCUUUCCACCCAAUUUCCCAUCCCCACGAGCACCACAGAAAUGAGUGCUCAUGCUGUCUCAGAUGCUGACGCUUUUUAAACUUUAAUUUCUUCUAGUUUCUUAGGUUUUAAUUCUGUGUGGUGAUUCUGUAUCCUGCAGCGAGCCUCAACUCCCUGCUACGUUUUACUCACUUGUAACUGCUGCUGCUUCUCCUUUGUAAAGAUUUAUUGAUUCCUUUGAAAGUCAGAGUAACACAGAGAGAGGAGAGGCAGAGAGAGACAGGGGUCUUCCAUCCACUGGUUCACUCCCCAAUUGGCUGCAACAGCUGGAGCUCUGCUGAUCCGAAGCCAAGAGCCAGGAGCUUCCCUCCGGGUCUCCCACGUGGGUGCAGGGGCCCAAGCACUUGGGCCAUCUUCUACUGCUUUCCCAGGCCAUAGCAGAGAGCUGGAUUGGAAGUGGAGCAGCCGGGACUCGAACCACUGCCCAUAUGGGAUGUUGCGCUGCAGGCAGUGACUCUAUCCACUAUGCCACAGCGCCAGCCCCACUUCUUCUUUUCCAAACAGAACCACAUAGGUAACCACGUCCUCCACAGACACAGCGAAUCUCGCUCCUCCUUUGGGAUCCGGCUGCCUCUGGUGGGUUUUCCGUGCACGCCACACAGCACAACAGGGUACCGAUGUGACGCGAGGAAACCCCCACUUCCCCACGCAUAAAGCGUAAGGCCGCAGGAGUGGCUCAAUCAGGUUAAUACUGAUGCUGGCAGAAAGCAUUUCCCAGUGUUGGACACACCGCCGGGAGCCGCUGUGCACACCGUGUUCACUUGGCACCACAAUCGCCCGAGGAGGACGCCUUCCUGUCUCCCCCGCUUUGCAUCUGAGGAAUUCAGACUUGCAGGACUUCAUUAACUGACCGAGAGCCCGCAGCUGAGCGACCUGCAAGGGGGUCUGAGUCUGGUGGGCGGGCUUUGGCCCGUGCUGACCCACCGUGGUGAGCGGCCGCGCCGAGUUCAGCACCAGUCUGUGCCUGAUGAACUGCAUGCAGCUCCCCAGGAACCCUGUUUCCACGCGGCUGUUGUCAGUGUCCCGUGGACUGACACCGGGGGUGCCGAGAGUGUUUCAGCCCUCAUUGACAGGUGUUGUCUCCUGGCACAGUUGCAGCUCUUCCCAGCAUUAGAGCCUUCUUUACUUGAAAACCCUUCUUAAGUGCUUAUUUAUCUAUUUUUUAUUUAUUUGAAAGAGAGACACAGAAGGAGAUGCACACAGAGAAGAGAGAGAUCUUUCAAAUCCUGAGUCACUCCUGAUGUCUGCACCACCUGGGACUGCACCACGGCUGGGCCGUCCAUGCGAGCUCAUUUAUUUGAAAGACAGAGCAUCAGGGAGACAUAGAGAGAGGGAGAGGGAGGGGAGAAGGUGGGGAGA
rnacentral:lncRNA from 1 species